rnacentral:rRNA from 1 species
AGCGAACGCUGGCGGCAGGCUUAACACAUGCAAGUCGAGCGGACACUUCGGUGUCAGCGGCAGACGGGUGAGUAACACGUGGGAACGUACCCUUCGGUUCGGAAUAACUCAGGGAAACUUGAGCUAAUACCGGAUACGCCCUUACGGGGAAAGAUUUAUUGCCGAAGGAUCGGCCCGCGUCUGAUUAGCUAGUUGGUGAGGUAAAGGCUCACCAAGGCGACGAUCAGUAGCUGGUCUGAGAGGAUGAUCAGCCACACUGGGACUGAGACACGGCCCAGACUCCUACGGGAGGCAGCAGUGGGGAAUAUUGGACAAUGGGCGAAAGCCUGAUCCAGCCAUGCCGCGUGAGUGAUGAAGGCCCUAGGGUUGUAAAGCUCUUUUGUCCGGGAGGAUAAUGACUGUACCGGAAGAAUAAGCCCCGGCUAACUUCGUGCCAGCCGCCGCCGUAACAC